AGCUGGCUAGCUAGCAGUGUUGUUUAAAGUUAAAGUUUGGAGUGGAUUGAAGCUGAACCACUAUCAGAAUUGAACCAUAAAGGAGUGAUCACUUGUGAAUGGAGUGUUUUUCUCCCACUUGAGAGGGGAGAGUUUUUUUCCCUCUCACCUUAGUGUGGAGUGCUUUCCUAGAGAGAUUGUUUUUAUGGAGUAACAACCGAACCUAUAGUGGAGAUUUCGUACGGACUGCUCUCUGGUAUACAUUCCCCUUCCUCCCUCCCCUAAUUUUUUUUAGGGGUUGAGGCCUGUAUGAGGCUUAAUUGCCAUUUCUGGAGCAACCACCAGAUGGCAACAGACAAGGACUUGUUGUAGGAGAAAAUUAGUUCAAAUCAAAUUUCAAAUUUUUCCCCCGCUCCUCUCCUUACCAGAAAGGUGUUUAUGUCGGCGUGAUGCGUGGAGAAACCCGUUGGCUGCACCGCUUCGGAUAGCGUCUCUCCAGUGAGCCAUGUUUCCGUGAAGCACAGAACGUUAGUCUCUGAUGUCCCUCUGGAAUGCUACCCUUGCUCGGAUUUCAUCAACCUUGUUGUCAAGAGACUGGACAUUGGCAAGAAGAAUGCUAGGGAGUGGUGCACGGUGUGCCCGUCUCCGGAGUCUGACCAGAAGACCGCCUCAUUUCCCUCUUUUUCGGAGUUGUUUUUUUGGGUCGCUGCAUGUGAUCCAUUCCGUUGUCCUGUUCUGUUCCUGUCCAGAACACAAGAUCCGCGUUGCGAAAAACAUAUUCUUGGUCGUACUGAUGGUGAGUUGACGCUGAUCUUAUAUUCAGUAGUUCUUCUCGACUGUAUGUAAUGAAACCUAAGAUGACCUGGGGUACUAAUGUAAGAAAUAACACGUAAAAAAACAAAAAACUGCAUAGUUUCCUAGGAACGCGAAGCGAGGCGGCCAUCUCUGUCGGCGCCGGAAGAUCUACGGAUAGUUCCCUGGACUUGGUAUAGUUUCUUCUUUUGGGUUUCCCAGCAAGGGUUCUGGCUAUUGGGUCUUUACCAUGGCAGUGCCAGUACACAACCGUUUCCAGGCUCUAGUUAACCUACAUGAUCAGGCAGGUAUGGUAAGACAGGUGAAUAAAUUGGCGGCCUUUAUUAAACCCUCCUCGCCCAACAGACUCUGGCAAAGGCUAAUUCCAGUUAUGUGGCUGCAGUGACUAGCAAGUCACCGACUGGCAGGGCCUUAAUGGGAGCCAAGGCCCAUAGGGACUCUGGAAUAUGCAGGAAUACUCCAGGGGGAUCGAGUGACAACUCGGCCCUGCAAAGAGUGGAGGGACUAGCUUCAGACUUACCCCAACAAUCAAGAAGAGCAAGGAGAUAUCUAAUCCCCAAACUCAACGACCAAGAGAGAAUCUGGCCCCACCUAAAGUCCCAGCCUUGAUAAUCCCAGGUUCACAACAAGGUAACCAGCAGGGUAUGGUAGCAAUGGAAAACGGAAAAGAAACGGAACCUGGGACAGAACUAAUACUGGAACCUGUAAAAAGGGAUACACUUCUUUAUCCCACAUGUCAUUCUAGAACUGAAAGGAAAAUAAAUUA